AAGGAGUUCAUUCAGCAUUGUGGAUCCACUAUUGAUUUUCUGAAUUCCCUGGCAAAGGAUUGUAAUUCAGGUUUGAGGUAGACUGUUGUGGAAGCCCACUGCAACAGACUUAGGCUACCAUACAGGGAUUGUGCUAAACCUCCACCUCCACCCAGCAAGCUUGACAGUCGGGCUAAUCAGGAGAUGUUGCUGGACGCCAGUCGAUCUUUCCCCCCCAUCCGGGCCUUGGUAUUCUCUCAGGACAUGACUGGAGUGACCUUCCUUGGUGACCCCAGCACAGGAAGUGGACUACCCUGGGGCACCAUGAUCUAUGCCAACCAACCAGUUCCACAACAGGCUCCCGCGUUUUACUGGGAGCUGGAGAUGUGUUUGUUUGGUGACAGUCAGGAGUAGAGUGGUGCAGUCAUCUCGUUUGGCUUCGCUCUGUCGGCCGACAGGAAAGAUGGAGCCUGGACUA